UUCAACCAGAGUUGCGCUUUGCUUUAAGGCAUUUUUCUCUUGUCUUCACCGUUGUUGUAUUAGAAUACAUCAGUGCCACACUUUUACUUAUUUAUCUCUACAGUGUGUUUAUUUUUCUCUGUCCUGUACUUCACUGCACAUUCUCGCGCAGCAUUGACUGUCACGUGAGUUGGCUCGUGACAACAGGAAGAAGGAAUGGCAACUGUAAGGAUGCUGCUGCUGCUUUGACACUUUUCGACUCUGGAUUUUAAUAUCUGCAGAAAGCGACAGACAACAAUGGCUUCUUUUAUAAAAGAAACACAAAGCAUAAAAGAAGCGGUGACUUUCAUCAACGCUAUUGAUGAGAACAAGUUCUCCAGGCUGAUCUCCCGCAUCGUACAAAAACUUCAUCUGAAGGGAGAGCGGACAUUCAGUGAAGAGGAGGAAGAAAAACUUCAGACUGCCCUCUUAUUGGAUAAACGGGCUCUCAGUCUAGUCCUGGAAACAGCUGCCUUUAUACUAGAGCAGGCAGUGUAUCAUAAUGUAAAGCCAGCCUCUCUACAGCAACAGCUGGAGGGGGUUCAUCUAAACCCAGACAAGGCUGAGGUGUUCUCUCAAACCUGGGCAAGUUCUGGACCUGAGCUGGUGGAGAAACUAAAGCAUAAUACCUUUGCCCCAAAGAAGCUGGAGUAUGUCGGCUGGCAGUUGAACCUGCAGAUGGCCCAGUCCAGCCAAGCCAGACUGAAGUCUCCCAGUGCUGUCCUCCAACUGGGCCUCCGCAAUGAAGACUCUGAGAUGAACCUUUGAACUCUCCAAUUCCCCAUCUGCGUACCUCCUCCUUCACAAUGAAUCAGAAGGCUUCAAACUAGAGAAGCCUCAACCGUGUUAAUGAGGUUCAGGAAAAUGUCUUUGUUGAUUUUAACCACAAGGAGCUGCUUGACCUCUACAACAAGCUUGAAAUUGUGCAAGGCCAGUUGGACCUGACCUGAUGCCUGGUGCUCUCUCCCACACACACACACACACACACACACACACACACACACACACAGUGUUUUUGCUGACAGCUAUGCCAGCUGUUCUAUUCUGGCUCUGAUUUAUUAGAGAAAGAUAUCAAACUUUGAUGGAAGGAUUUCUUUCCCCUCUAAGCUCCUUUUAUUCCAGGUUUGUGGUCAUAAUUUAGAGGCUGGUGUGAUAAAUUAUGAUAAAUCUGAUGGUAAUUGUACUGAAACACAUUUCUUUGUAACAUUUUCUAUGUGCAGCAGUAAGUUACAACAAUGUUUGAAGGCCUUAGGAAUUAGUUAUUAUAAUAUUUAAAAAUGUGCCAAUAGUCAAUGACCGUGAAUAUUUGUUUGUACCCAUAGAAAACUAAGUUAAGGGAAAUGCUAUUUUGAGUUAUAAACAACUUAAUUUUGUAACAGGGAGAGAAACUAGUGUCCAUGACAUUCUAAUAAAAUCUAAAGUGGAGGUGAAAUCCA